GGCCAAACGGGUAAUAUAGCUAAUGAACUGGGCCGGGAAAGAGUUGGUCCUCUCAUUCUUUUAUUUUCUCACUUUGGAGAGAAACAUAGGUAAAACAUAUUUCAUUUUCCUCUUCACCGUGUUGAAUACAAGACCACUGACAUUUGUUCAAGGCUGCAGUCCAGCUUCCCAGAACCAGCGCCUAGCACCUAGCACCCAGCAAGUGCUCAGUAAAUAUCAGUUGACAAAGUGAGUCCGCAGAAUGGCCUGGACAGUGGGGAGUGGCAGGAGCAGGGUGAAUCCUGCCCAAGAGGAUAGCAGGCAUUCAGCUCCAGCCACCUAUUUCCAGAUCCCUAGAAGCUAGACUUUCAAAUCUCAACUUUUCAGUGGUGGCAACUAGUUCACAAAGCUUAAGGCCCUCCUGCAGGCUAGUCUGUACCUAUUGCUCUGCCAAGGGCGCCCACGCUGGGCCAGCACCGCAGCACACCUGCUCACCCCUGCUGCUGAGCAUCUUCAGGGAGAGGGGCAGCGAGGCCUAGGGGACUGUGCGCCUCCAGUUGCUCCCGAUGACUCAGACACUGGGGCCUGUGGUUGCUCUGCAGGAGGGUGAUGCUCUGGGCGCCAUGGAGAAGCUGUGCCGGCAACUGACCUACCACCUCAGCCCCCACUCCCAGUGGAGGCGGCACCGCGGGCUGGUGAAGAGGAAGCCACAGGCCUGCCUCAAGGCUGUACUGACUGGGAACCCUCCAGACAACACCGUGGACCUCUCAGGCAUCCCACUGACUUCCCGUGACCUUGAGCGAGUGACCAGCUACCUGCAGCGCUGUGGGGAGCAGGUGGACAGCGUGGAGUUGGGCUUCACAGGCCUCACGGACGACAUGGUCCUGCAGCUCCUACCGGCUCUCAGCACCCUGCCCCGCCUCACCACACUAGCCCU
rnacentral:lncRNA from 1 species